GCAGCAACAAGAGGUGAAAAGCACCAACCGAAUCCUAAAGCCUUUGCCAGGCGGGAAAAUAAACUUGAGUGCAGCGGCGGCAGCAGCAGCACGAGCAGCCCAGGAGGGAUUGAAAUGACUGGCGAGAAGUGGAAAGAGGGACUUAGAAGGUGCAUGAGCAGGAAGCAAGACGACUCUUUAAAGUGAUGCUCCGAAACACAUUUUUUAAUUGAGAAAAUCACAGUGUAAAGUCAUUACAAUUCAGCGCGAUCCUUCAGCAGGAAGGAAAUGAAUGCGGCCGAGGAGCCCGUAAGAAAUACCUUACACCUUUUACAUUUCAGCCAGCCGAGGCUGGUCGGCUGUCCACUCCCCCCAAAGGGUAGAUGCUUUCAACGAACCCGCUGCGGGAGGAAUCGGAGGUCCGGGCAGGACUUCCUUUAUUCUUUGGAAAGGCCUCGCGUACCCGGACUUCUCGAGCGGGUUGCAGCGCCUUGGCCCCCGGCGGCCACGGAAGCACCAUCGCCUGACAGCAAGACGGUCCGAGCGCCUUGGGACGCGUCUCGCGUCCUCCAGCGCCCGGGAAGCUAGCCAGGAGCCCGGCGCUGUGGGGCACCAACCCCUCUGGAGACUCGCCCUUGUGGAGCUCAGAGGGCUCGGGCCUUCAUGAUAUUAUUCUCUCCUGCCCUUUAGGGAGGUGGCUGCCCCGGUGGGAAGCGCUGAUCCCAAGAAAGAAAGCGGUUUGGUUUUGCUCCCAAACCUUCCUGUUUCCCCUUUACUUAUUAGCCCAAUAAAAUCAAAUAUCACGUUCUCCCUCCUGCGCUUUAACAGUUUUCUAGCUCAGACUUUUCCAGACGCUUCAGAAUUGUUUGGAAGCGUCCAGACGCCCUCCAGUGGUGGGCCUGAAGUCCGCACCCAGCGGGGGUAUUGCCUGCAUCUCAGCCGGGAUUGAGUUCGAUGGAGAACCUGGGGUCAAGAUCAAUAAAGACUUGAGGGAAAGGGAACAGCUCACAAGGGCAUGGGAUUACCUGGACGUAAUGAGCUCUUGCCUAAAAGUUGAGCCGUUCCUCAGUUACAGAAAAAUUUCCUGCCUGAAGAGAUCCUGAAAUUGUCCUAGGAGAGUAACUUCUCUAUUUGCGACUAGGUGUAAAUUGCAAUCUGUGUAGUUACAGUCUCCAUGACAGACCAUCCCAACAAAGCAACCACCUUCCUAAUUUAAAAAAAAAAAAAAAAAAAAAGUAAAUUCAGAAUAUUAACACAAAUACUUGUCUACCAUUUGUAUAGUUCACAAAAUUCCAGCAGUGAGAAAGUUGGAAAACUUAAGCCAGGGAACUAAAGGAUAAGCAGUUAUUUUUGAAACUAAAUUUUUAUUUAAAACUUGAUUUACUUUCACCCCCUGGUCUGUAAUCUUGCUGAUGUUCAAGUUCUUGGCCUAUUCUAGGGUACAUUUGUUUUUUUCCUUUGCAGGAUGACGCAUUUCUUCCCUCAGCCUUUUUGAUAGUAGCUCUAAUAAGUGCACAGAUGACUGAGCCAGUUUUGCAAGGAAUUAUUCUGGACUCUUUUAAGGGACAUGUAUAUCUUUAGGAAGAAGAGAAUUCACACUCCUGUCUUGGGGGAAAUGCUGAUCCUCAUCAAAAAGUCUUUUCAGCCAGGGAAAUAUCAGAUAUCAGGGAGUUAGCAAGCUGGCUUCCUGUGGCGUCAAAGCCAAAGGAAUAAAGAAAAAGAAAUUAUAUCCACUUAUUUCCUAUUUGAAACUCAUACUCCAAAUGUGAAAAUUCAACAUAUCAAAAGAAUAUAGAUGUCCUAACAUUUUCAAUAUCUCUAAUUCGCUUAAAGUCUAAUUUGCUUAAAGUCCAAUUUUAAGCAGAAAAAAAAAAUCAUACAUGGUGAUCUUCCUUAAAAUGAAUCAGGGAGUUGGAAUAAGACAGUAGAACUUGCAACUCUUUCAAAACAUCAUUCAAAUGUCUAUGUGAAAUAAUUUAUAAACCUAAAUCAAAUGUGUCCUUCUGGGAUGAUACACCUAAGUAAUGAUUGAUAUUGGAGUAACUAAGCAAUAUGAUAGAUACAUACUUAGAGAAUUUCAAGAGGUAUUAUUAACCUUUCACAUCACUAGAGAAUGUGACAUUGUCUCUUCAGGAAAAUAUUUAAGUGAUUUGAGUUUAUGCAAAUAAGCAUUAUAUAAAAUAACUAUAUUCUGAUUACUCCAAUGUCACGGAGUCAAUGACCCUUAAGCUGGCCUUUGUAUAAACAGUGUUCUCCUAAGUAUAGAAUGAGGUUGAUGUCUGAAAGAAAGAAAACAGCAAGCUAAAAACAGGAGUAAAAAGGUAGGGAGUGUUCGAAGGUUCUGAGUUAACAGGAUUUGUACAGGGCUGUGGGGAGCUGAGACCUGAGAAGUCCGGUAAGAAUGGACUGUAGAAGGGCUUAACUGCUAUCUACAAAUGUUUGGGUUUAAAGGCAACCAAAUGCACUGGUGGUUUUAAAACAAGUGGCAAGUAAUAAUUGUGCUGCCUCAAUGUACAAAUAGGGAUGGGAGUACUUGUUUGUUUGUUUACUUACUUGUUCAUUAUUUUGGGGCCUGAACUAUCUAGGUUGGUGUUCUAACCUUGGCUACAAAUUAGAGUCACCUAGGGAGAUUUUUCUUUUUUAAUAUGCAUUUUUUUUAAAGAUUUUAUCUAUUUGAGAGAGAGCAUGAGGUGGGGAGGGGCAAAGGGAGAGAGAGAAGACGACUCCCUACGGAGCAGGACCUAGGGAUCUUGACCUUGACCUUGACCAAGGCAGAGACACCCAGGUGCCCUACCUAGGGAGCUAUUUUAAAAAGAACAAUGCCAGGACCCCACUUCCUGUUUUGGUUUGUUAGGGGCAAGGACCUGGGAUCUGUGAUUUUUAGAAGCUCCCAGGGAAUUCUAAGGAGCAUAGAAAACUGAGAAUCACUGAUCCAGGUGAUUUAUUUUUACCUUAACUACUUCAAUAUUUCAGGCAAAAAAGAAAAUCCUGUACUUAUUUGUCUGAAAUGUUUCAACUAACGGUCAAGACAAGAAUGUUGAUAAUAGAGAAUGGAACUUUAGGAUCCUCUCUAUUAAAAUGAAGUGAUGCUUUAAAAGUAGUUUUCAAAUGGCACGAAAGAGAAUACCAUCUCUGAGAUGGGGUGGCAGGGGCAAAGCUCGCUUUCAAAUAUGGGUUAAUCUCUUUUGGACUAGUUUAGACUUCAUUUUUGCCUUAGCUGUCUCCGGGUUGAAGUAGAGUUCUGCUGUGUCAAGCGUGCAGACAAAGAAAUGAAACAAGCUCGUGAAUCAAACCCCACCAUCCAAAGACUAAGCACUUCUUGUUUAAUACAGUAGUUAAAUUAGAACUGAUAGCCAGGAGAAAUAAUAAAGGAAAUAAACUAAAGAACAAAGAUCAAAGAAAUAACAAUUAGACACAAAACUUUCUAACAGAUGACUAGCAAAAUGGCAUUUCAUCUAAUCCUGCAAUUUAUCUUCCUAGAACAUUUAGAAUUCAUUCCAAAGCCCUAAGAAACCUAGGUUCUAUCACCAAACUAUUUAAUAAAGCCUUUGCUCCUCCUCACCCUGUUUAUAUAACAGGUUUCUCAGAAUCUUAAGAAAUAACUAUUUGCUAGCUUUCCUCUCCUUGGAGACCUAAGGAAAUGCUCCUUUUCUAUUUCUGAUCUAGCUGUCUCUUCUGUGUGCAACCUAAAAGUAAAAAAAAAAAAAACAAAGAAACUGUCUACUAAAUAGAGUGUCACGUCUCUACCUUCUGUCUUGUGACCUUCAACUUCCAUCACGAAUUUUCCAUUUUUGCUCAUUCUUUCUUUACUUUCCGGGUGCUUCCUCAAGUUUGUUUCACAGCAUCCAUUCUCAGAAAGCCCGUGGAUAAGUAGGAGAUUUAUAAGUUGCUGCAAUAUUCUGAAAAAGGCAUUUUUUAAAUGUUUUAUUUAUGAACUGUCUGUUGUUGUUUUGCCCAUUGGAAAACAGUUUAAAUAAGAUCUACAGAGCAAACUUUUUAAACAUAGAGAAACUUGGGCAGCUGUUUUGAUAAACAACUAAACCAUAUAAUUAGACAUAUAUGAAAAUAUGUAUUACAUUCCUGUGUACUACAAAUGACUCUGUGCUUACAGGUAAUUUAAAAAGAAGCAAACAAGAACUAGUUGAUUCAACCAAUUUCCACAUCACUUUUCAUUAUCUAAACUUCAUUCUAUAUACCACAGAGUUAUAUGACCGGUUUUCAGCUAUAACACUGAAAUUGAUAGGUGAUUUUAUCCCCCUAGGAAAUUGUCAUGUUGUCUUCACUACUUGAACUGAAUGUACUUUUCACUGCUCUGUUUCUCCUCUUCAAGUUUUUAAAUAAAAAUCACCAAAUAAAAUGUAUCUGCAUUUUGCAAA